CCUACGGGAGGCAGCAGUGGGGAAUAUUGGACAAUGGGGGGAACCCUGAUCCAGCCAUGCCGCGUGUGUGAAGAAGGCCCUCGGGUUGUAAAGCACUUUCAGUGAGGAAGAACGCCUGGUGGUUAAUACCCAUCAGGAAAGACAUCACUCACAGAAGAAGCACCGGCUAACUCCGUGCCAGCAGCCGCGGUAAUACGGAGGGUGCGAGCGUUAAUCGGAAUUACUGGGCGUAAAGCGCGCGUAGGUGGCUUGAUAAGCCGGUUGUGAAAGCCCCGGGCUCAACCUGGGAACGGCAUCCGGAACUGUCAAGCUAGAGUGCAGGAGAGGAAGGUAGAAUUCCCGGUGUAGCGGUGAAAUGCGUAGAGAUCGGGAGGAAUACCAGUGGCGAAGGCGGCCUUCUGGACUGACACUGACACUGAGGUGCGAAAGCGUGGGUAGCAAACAGGAUUAGAUACCGAGUAGUC
rnacentral:rRNA from 1 species